rnacentral:antisense_RNA from 9 species
GCUUAUGGUGGCUGUGCGUGGGGCGCCUUCGGGUGCGCUGGUUUUCCUAUUGACCGGUCUGCUAACCCGCGUACAGCUACCACCCCU